UACGAAGGGGGCUAGCGUUGCUCGGAAUCACUGGGCGUAAAGCGCACGUAGGCGGAUUGUUAAGUCAGGGGUGAAGUCCUGGAGCUCAACUCCAGAACUGCCUUUGAUACUGGCGAUCUCGAGUCCGGGAGAGGUGAGUGGAACUGCGAGUGUAGAGGUGAAAUUCGUAGAUAUUCGCAAGAACACCAGUGGCGAAGGCGGCUCACUGGCCCGGUACUGACGCUGAGGUGCGAAAGCGUGGGGAGCAAACAGG
rnacentral:rRNA from 1 species